ACAUUGUACAUAGACUGAAAGCCAAUUAGCCAACUACCUAUUUGAAAGUUUAAACAAGGUAAAUGUUGUUACCCUAUCAGAAAUAGACAUGGGUUUCCGUGAUAGUGAGUUUGCACCGUCGUCGAUUAACUCCACCAAUGCCAGGGGCACGUAUGCUAAUAGUGCUAGUAGUCUUAGCAGUCUUUUAGUUUCCAAUCUUUCUAACUGCAUACCUACAAAUUUAAGUUAACUUUUACGCUAUAGAGAGCGUUGCGAUCCGCACUAAGCACACAAAUCUAGUGUUUCGUUCGAGUCGAUGAUGAUAAAACUACGCCUUAAUGUCACCGUGACGGUUUUUAUAAGCUCAACAGGACUGAAUAAAGAUUUUUUUACAAGAGUUAGAAAUUUUGAAUUUCACCAUCUAAUAAAGUUUCCUUUUUUGCAGAGUUCUUUAUUUGAAGAGACCAGAGUCUGUCUUCGUAUAGUGUCAUUUUUAGGUUAAUCACCGUUAAUAAAACAAUCUUAAAUGUACUGGAAGUUAAAUAAAAAACAUUUUAAAAGCA